rnacentral:lncRNA from 1 species
UGCCCAUGGUCUGUAAUCUAUCAACUGUGGGAAGCUUAUGCUGAGCAGCCAGCCAAUCAGUAAACUUAUGCUUAGGAAGUACAUUAGCAAUAAGCAUUAUGUUCUUCCAUGCAACCUUGGUGAACAAAGGCAGCAUAGUAAUAUACAGUUUGUGAAUAUAAAACUUGUUCAUCCUGCAUACACUUUGCAACCUGCAUAUAAGAUUACCCUGUAACUGAGCAUUUUCCAUCACCAUGGAUCUACUAUCCAAAAUCUUUUUGAUCACCCAAGAAGUUGUAGUUGGUACAACAACUGUAUCAAUGUUCCCCUUCUUGAUGUAAUAGGCAUGAACCCAUCUGACCCAUAAGCAGUCUUUUUCCUAGCCAAGUCCCAUAACUAUUUGAUUAUGGCUGCUUUGUUCCAUACAGACAACCUCAGAAUAUUAAGUCCACCAAAAGAUAAAGGUUGGCAUACC